GCUUCUUUUUCACCGGAGCUUGCUCCACCGGAAAAAGAGGAGUGGCGAACGGGUGAGUAACACGUGGGUAACCUGCCCAUCAGAAGGGGAUAACACUUGGAAACAGGUGCUAAUACCGUAUAACAAUCGAAACCGCAUGGUUUUGAUUUGAAAGGCGCUUUCGGGUGUCGCUGAUGGAUGGACCCGCGGUGCAUUAGCUAGUUGGUGAGGUAACGGCUCACCAAGGCCACGAUGCAUAGCCGACCUGAGAGGGUGAUCGGCCACAUUGGGACUGAGACACGGCCCAAACUCCUACGGGAGGCAGCAGUAGGGAAUCUUCGGCAAUGGACGAAAGUCUGACCGAGCAACGCCGCGUGAGUGAAGAAGGUUUUCGGAUCGUAAAACUCUGUUGUUAGAGAAGAACAAGGAUGAGAGUAACUGUUCAUCCCUUGACGGUAUCUAACCAGAAAGCCACGGCUAACUACGUGCCAGCAGCCGCGGUAAUACGUAGGUGGCAAGCGUUGUCCGGAUUUAUUGGGCGUAAAGCGAGCGCAGGCGGUUUCUUAAGUCUGAUGUGAAAGCCCCCGGCUCAACCGGGGAGGGUCAUUGGAAACUGGGAGACUUGAGUGCAGAGGAGGAGAGUGGAAUUCCAUGUGUAGCGGUGAAAUGCGUAGAUAUAUGGAGGAACACCAGUGGCGAAGGCGGCUCUCUGGUCUGUAACUGACGCUGAGGCUCGAAAGCG
rnacentral:rRNA from 1 species